rnacentral:misc_RNA from 1 species
AAGUCGUAACAAGGUUUCCGUAGGUGAACCUGCGGAAGGAUCAUUACAGAGUGUUUAGGGUCCCUUCUUGGGGCCCGACCUCCAACCCCAUGUGUACCUGUCCACGUUGCUUCGGUGGCUCUGGCCUUCCCACUCAGGGGGCCACCCGCCGAGGAACCACAAAACCCUUGUAAAUACGUGCCGUCUGAGUCUUUUAGCGAAUUAAAAUAAAA